AGAGUCCAUCGGGUGACCGCGGACCGGCCCUCCGGGGCCGAUCUGAGGAAGGUCGGGGCUCCGCAGGACAGGAUGCUGGCUAACGGCCAGUCGGGGUGACCCGCAGGAAAGUGCCACAGAAAACAAACCGCCGCCGCCGGCCCCCGGCCGAGGGCGGUAAGGGUGAAACGGUGCGGUAAGAGCGCACCAGCGAUCAGGGUGACCUGAUCGGCUCGGUAAACCCCAUCCGGAGCAAGGCCAAACGAGGUGACAGGUCGUCCGCCUGAACUCCCAGGAGUUCACACCUCGGGUGGGCCGCAAAGAUGGAUGGUCACCGAACGGGCGCCGGCAACGGCCCCGGGAACAGAACCCCGCCUACAGAUGGACUCCCCCG
rnacentral:RNase_P_RNA from 1 species